UACGGAGGGGGCUAGCGUUGUUCGGAAUUACUGGGCGUAAAGCGCACGUAGGCGGCUUUGUAAGUUAGAGGUGAAAGCCCAGGGCUUAACCCUGGAAUUGCCUUUAAGACUGCAUCGCUAGAAUCGUGGAGAGGUGAGUGGAAUUCCGAGUGUAGAGGUGAAAUUCGUAGAUAUUCGGAAGAACACCAGUGGCGAAGGCGACUCACUGGACACGUAUUGACGCUGAGGCGCGAAGGCGUGGGGAGCGAACGGG
rnacentral:rRNA from 1 species